rnacentral:lncRNA from 1 species
GUAUGGUCUUACAGUAGUAACAUAUACAUGCGGGAGAUUUGGAAUUCUUAUAAAUAUUUCUGGAUCAAACACUAUUAUAGGAACAUACAAAAAGUGAUAAGGUAUAAAGAUCUAUAAAUAGAAAUCUUAGCUUAAUCUGUAUACUGGACAGAUGUUUAUAAUCUGCUGUUUCACUUUCUCGUCUGUUGUUAGUUUCACCAUUCUCAAAUUCAGCAGUGCAAAAAAAAUUUUUCAAGCAGGUGACAGCAUAAAAUUUGUUUCAGCUUCAGUGCAAAAUAUAAUUUUUUUUUCGGUCAGCUAGGCCAUCAAAAUAUUUUUUUUCAAAAAAAUCCAAGGCCCCCCCCAGAUAAGAAAAUGGUUGUUG